UGCCCAGACUCCUACGGGAGGCAGCAGUGGGGAAUAUUGCACAAUGGGGGAAACCCUGAUGCAGCAACGCCGCGUGAGUGAAGAAGUCUUUCGGUAUGUAAAGCUCUAUCAGCAGGGAAGAAGAUGACGGUACCUGAGUAAGAAGCCCCGGCUAACUACGUGCCAGCAGCCGCGGUAAUACGUAGGGGGCAAGCGUUAUCCGGAUUUACUGGGUGUAAAGGGAGCGUAGACGGCAGCGCAAGUCUGGAGUGAAAUGCCGGGGCCCAACCCCGGAACUGCUUUGGAAACUGUGUAGCUAGAGUGCUGGAGAGGCAAGCGGAAUUCCUAGUGUAGCGGUGAAAUGCGUAGAUAUUAGGAAGAACACCAGUGGCGAAGGCGGCUUGCUGGACAGUAACUGACGUUGAGGCUCGAAAGCGUGGGGAGCAAACAGGAUUAGAUACCCGUGUAGA
rnacentral:rRNA from 1 species